rfam:Populus trichocarpa scaffold_22_contig_6, whole genome shotgun sequence.
CCAAAAGCUAUUGGGUCUGGCUUGGCUGUUGGACCCAACGCUGUUGGGUCUGGCUGCUAAGUCAUGCCCAAAACACUUCUAAAAGGAGCAACAACGUUGGGUCUUGCUGCCCAGCAGCACCCAAUAGUGUUGGGUC